AGCGUCUCUUGGGCGCCCAGCGCCAUUCUCAGCCGUUCACCUGCUGGAAUGCCUCCUCUACCCACCACACCCCAAACGAGGAGGCUAAGAAAACUGACACAAGGACACACGGCUGGAAGUGCUGGUGCUGGGGCCUGAGCCUGCCCCGACGGCCACUAUUCUAUACUGGCACAUACGUGUCUUCUUGCACAAGCUUCUUCCACCCGCCGUGAUGCCUAAGAGAGUCCUGCCUGCUGAAUCUGCAGACACAGCUCAGGAAUGUUAACUGCUCUGUGAUUUUCCCCUUUGUGACCACAACGUGGAACCGCUGAGUCAUCGAGAACAGGCGUCUUCAUCUUCAACUUUGGACGAUGUUGCCAAGACUCCCAGUGUUUGCAAUAACUUACACUUCCGCAUGCCGGGCGUGAGAAUCUGAGAUGACAGGAUGAGCCCUCUCCUCCGCAUCUGCUGUGGCCUGGGUCCCUCCGUGAGUCCCCAUUCGAGCCCAUGAGGAGGCCAACCUGCCUUCAUCUGCUCAGCAUCUCAUCACAUAUCUUGAGUCAGAAAGCCGUCCCUGCUGGCUCCUCCAUUUGUACGCACUGUGGCAGAAGAAGAUGCUACAAAAUCAUCGUCUUAGAAAGACCUGAAUAGAGAAAACGCAGCCUAAAGAAUUCAGCGGAGAAAGAAAGCCACGAAGGUGUGUCAGGAUGCUAAGUAACAAACAUAGUCUGAUUUUCCUCAAUUUUGUGAUGUUUUUGGUAAUUGUUCACUUUUUGAAAUCUGCAAAUUUUUUUUUAUGAUUUCUUUGCUCAUUCUAAAUAAAUACUAAAUUGC
rnacentral:lncRNA from 1 species